UAACGUGUAUGCGUGAUUGUAUAUGUAUGUGUGAUCAUACAUGCAUUUUUGUAUAAAAGUGUGUGUCAUUGUAUGUAUAUAUUUACAGAUCUGAAGGCUUAACAGAGGACUGACCACCUGUUGUUUGACUGGCAUGUUUGCUGCACAGCAGGUGAUGCGGCACAUCUCCAGAGGGAUCAUUACACAACUUUUCUUUUAUGAUUUCUAAGUUCACUGGUUACUUUCAGUUGCCUUACUUCUUUGAUGGUUGAAGACAAUAUCUUUCAGUAUCAGACACUCUUCCACAGUGAUGUCAUUUCAUGAGCCCAUGUGCUCUGGCCCAUGAUCUCAUGGGGACAAAUUUCUGUAAUGUUCUAAAGAGUGAUGGUUUUCAUACACAGGGCAAAAAUUGAUAAUUGAGGUGUACAUCCUGCCUUAUUUCAGCAAGAUGGACUAUUUUAAAUGUUUAAAUUAAACUAAAUUAUUUUUGUCUAUUUAACUUCCCACUAGGGGCUAACUGAGUGCAAAAAAUAUUAAUGUAAAGGCUAAGACAAAGGCAUCUCCCUUAAUGGUUGUGCAGAUAGAUGUUUGUCUGCUUUUUUUGUCUUUGAAUAUAUACAUACCGCAAACCUUAUAGGCAUGAGAGCUUAUAGCUCUGAGGGCCCUGCCCCUCCAAUUAAAGCUUGUUAAAGGCAGAAUUCUUUUUACUUCUCUCCACAGGGAUCUGGAAGAGAAGGGUUCUCCAGCUUCUCACUCUACCCAGAGUAAUAAUUACCUGAGAUAAUUACUUUCCCCUCACAAGCAAUUAAUGCCAAUUCCAGGGGCUAUGGUUUGGGACUCAGGCAGGGACUGGGGUUAUGCACAGACUUAGAAAUUAACAACAGGAAGCUUUUAUUUUUGUACUGUCUGUAUUAAACACUUUGGAAUAGAAACCAUUAUAUACAUGAGUAAGGCCAUGUGGUGGUGUUCUCUAGAACAGGAAAAAGGAAGCAAGGAGAGAUAAACCUGCACAGAAUCAAGCGCUGAUAGCCAUCACAUGCAGCUGCUGCUCUGGGAUACACACAAGAGGAAAUGUGGAACCUGUGAUCCAGCUUCUCAGAGGAAUAUAUGUUACCUACUGACAAUAAAAGAAUGCAAGAAAU